CAUGUUCAGCAGUGCCGACGGUGAGCCGGUCACCAAGCUCACUUCAUCUCCCUGAAAAUUCUUGCUGCCCAUUUGAGGGGUGGCCAUUAUUAUCUUUUUCAGAUCAUGGUGGGAAGAGCCUUGUAUGAUGAGAAAUGGGGAACCCAGCAACCAUGUGAUUGACGAAGGACCAGUUUUUCCUUCCUCGCUAAUGUCCUGGUAGGCAGCAGUGGAAGAAGAAGAAGGCUAAAGAAGCUGAGGACUGCCCAAGGUCAGCCAGCAAGUGCAGAGCUGCACUCUCAGAAACUGAGACCGGGGAACACUCCUGCCUAAGAUUUACUCCCCCAUGUGGUCAAAAAUGCUUUUAAGCCUCUCUAGAUGGAACCUCCCCAACUCAUGAUAGCCUGAAUCUGUAGCCCACAAUGAACUGUUAGAAAAGUCUAUCAAUUUGUGCUUUCUGUCUUUUAAAUUUGU